rnacentral:misc_RNA from 1 species
AAAACAAAUAGAGGUGUCAGUCUAACUGGAUAGAUAAUGUCCAAUAAAAUAUCCUUGAUUGUGAACUAGAGCAAAAUGAAUCAAAGAAAUUAAUAGACUCAAAACCCCUAUUUGGCAUUCAAAAGAAAAUUGGUAUAGAAGAAGAACAAAGAAACACAGCAACAAUAAUCAAAAGACUCCAAAGAAACCGAAACACAAAAAUCAGGAUGAAAUGAAAAGAAUCACUAUGAACCAAACAUCAUGAACCGAAAAUAAAUAGAAGAUAAACAAGCCCGUUGUCAAGAGCCAAUGUUUUGAUACCAAAAUGAUGUGAAUCCCAAUGGACUUGCCUUGAAACCCACAAUCAAAUUGAUGUUUAUUACCCAAGAAAGCUCAAAAUCAGA